AUGAACGCUGGCGGUAUGCUUAACACAUGCAAGUCGAACGGUCACUUCGGUGAUAGUGGCGGACGGGUGAGUAACGCGUGAGAAUCUGUCUUCAGGUCGGGGACAACAGUUAGAAAUGACUGCUAAUACCGGAUGUGCCUUUGGGUGAAAGAUUUAUUGCCUGAAAAAGAGCUCGCGUCAGAUUAGCUAGUAGGUGGUGUAAGAGACUACCUAGGCUCCGAUCUGUAGCUGGUCUGAGAGGACGAUCAGCCACACUGGAACUGAGACACGGUCCUGACUCCUACGGGAGGCAGCAGUGGGGAAUUUUCCGCAAUGGGCGAAAGCCUGACGGAGCAAUACCGCGUGAGGGACGAAGGCUUUUGGGUCGUAAACCUCUUUUCUCAAGGAAGAUGAUGACGGUACUUGAGGAAUAAGCAUCGGCUAACUCUGUG
rnacentral:rRNA from 1 species